GCCGAGGUGGCGGAACGGCAGACGCGCAACGUUCAGGGCGUUGUGCCCGAAAGGGCGUGCGGGUUCAAAUCCCACCCUCGGCACCA
rnacentral:tRNA from 1 species